rnacentral:rRNA from 1 species
UACGUAGGGUGCGAGCGUUAAUCGGAAUUACUGGGCGUAAAGGGUGCGCAGGCGGUUCUGCAAGUCAGGCGUGAAAUCCCCGGGCUUAACCUGGGAAUUUCAUUUCAAACUGGCCGACUAGAGUACGGUAGAGGGAGGUAGAAUUUCCUGUGUAGCGGUGAAAUGCGUAGAUAUAGGAAGGAAUACCAGUGGCGAAGGCGGCCUCCUGGAUCGAUACUGACGCUGAGGCGCGAAAGCGUGGGGAGCAAACAGG